rnacentral:rRNA from 1 species
GAGCCUAACUUAUGCAAGUCGAGCGGAUGAGAGGAGCUUGCUCCUGGAUUCAGCGGCGGACGGGUGAGUAAUGCCUAGGAAUCUGCCUGGUAGUGGGGGACAACGUUUCGAAAGGAACGCUAAUACCGCAUACGUCCUACGGGAGAAAGCAGGGGACCUUCGGGCCUUGCGCUAUCAGAUGAGCCUAGGUCGGAUUAGCUAGUUGGUGAGGUAAUGGCUCACCAAGGCGACGAUCCGUAACUGGUCUGAGAGGAUGAUCAGUCACACUGGAACUGAGACACGGUCCAGACUCCUACGGGAGGCAGCAGUGGGGAAUAUUGGACAAUGGGCGAAAGCCUGAUCCAGCCAUGCCGCGUGUGUGAAGAAGGUCUUCGGAUUGUAAAGCACUUUAAGUUGGGAGGAAGGGCAGUAACUUAAUACGUUGCUGUUUUGACGUUACCGACAGAAUAAGCACCGGCUAACUCUGUGCCAGCAGCCGCGGUAAUACAGAGGGUGCAAGCGUUAAUCGGAAUUACUGGGCGUAAAGCGCGCGUAGGUGGUUUGUUAAGUUGGAUGUGAAAUCCCCGGGCUCAACCUGGGAACUGCAUUCAAAACUGACAAGCUAGAGUAUGGUAGAGGGUGGUGGAAUUUCCUGUGUAGCGGUGAAAUGCGUAGAUAUAGGAAGGAACACCAGUGGCGAAGGCGACCACCUGGACUGAUACUGACACUGAGGUGCGAAAGCGUGGGGAGCAAACAGGAUUAGAUACCCUGGUAGUCCACGCCGUAAACGAUGUCAACUAGCCGUUGGGAGCCUUGAGCUCUUAGUGGCGCAGCUAACGCAUUAAGUUGACCGCCUGGGGAGUACGGCCGCAAGGUUAAACUCAAAUGAAUUGACGGGGGCCCGCACAAGCGGUGGAGCAUGUGGUUAAUUCGAAGCACGCGAA